rnacentral:lncRNA from 10 species
UACCCUUUUAGUAAUCCUCUUAGAUGAUUCUGAUGCAGCAGGACUGCGGCCCACUCAUUCAUAAAACUGGGAACACAUUAGUUCAGUGGUUCUCAAACUUGCUGAAUAUUAGAAUCACCAGGAGGUUUUAAAAAUAUCAAUGGGCCCUUUUCCCAACUAAUUAAAUGAGAAAAUCCGAGGUUGAGAGGUCAGCAUCAUUUAAGGCCUCCCAAGGUGAUUUUAAUAUGCAGUCCGGGAUGAGAAUCAUUGACAGACAGAUUCUAUUGACUAACAAGCUUCUUGCACAAACAGAGCAGCCAGGGACAGCUGGGGUAGCAGGAAGAAGGCACCAAAUUCUCCAUGCUGGCUCUUGGACAUCUUUGAGAAGAGUGGAUAGAGAGGAGAGAGUCAAACACACUCGCAAGCUUGGAUAAGGAGAAAAGGAGAUACAAAUAUCAUUAUUCCACCAUAGAGACUUGCAAAUCAAGGUGUAAGAGAUUAUAUACUUUAUCUUGGCUGACCCAGGAUAAAGAAGAUAAAAUCUUGAUCAGUGCUUUUACAUCAGAAUCACCUUGUGGAAAUGCAGAUUCCAAGGCUCCCUGAAUUGGGCCUGGGGGAUUCUCAUUCUGCUAUUAAAAGAAGGGCACUUUGGGACUCACUGACCUGGGCCUUCAACUCCUAUCUCAGGACUGUUGCCACUAGGCCCUGCUGUCAGCUGAAAACCCCUUGGGGAGGGCAAGGUUGAAACUCAGUAACAUCGCUGAUGCUUUUGCCCAGAAAGAAUGCCUGAAUUUGAAGGUUGAAUGUGAAAGCAUCAUAGAAUUGCUGAUUAAACUCCAAUUGCAGCAUCAGCUAUGUGGGAAUAAACUGUCAACAUCUACAGCAUAUUCAAAUCUACAUUUCUGAGAAGGCAAUUAGCCUAAUUAGUUUAGUAAUGAAUAAUAUUAACCUUUAAAAUAUCAUAGAGUCCACAAUGCCAGUUUACUUCUGUUUCCUAACUAAAUAUGUCAUUUGAUAUUGAGAAGAAAGUGGUGUCUUUAGAGAAUAACUCAAAACAACAGCUCAGUUAGGUGGGAUAGGGGACUGAAAUAAUGUUGAACUAGUUAUUUGAGAUUUUUCCUCCACCACUGGGAUACAUCUUAGGUCUAAAACAAUAUUGAUCUAAUCCCUGAAGAUAGGGGCUCAUUAAAAAAAAUUAUCUAUGUAUCUAUGUACUAAAAAAUAUCUGUGUCCGGGGCCUAUUUUGUACAGUGAUCCCAUGGUAUCUGCCAGGGAUUAAGUUCUAAGACCUCCACAGAUACUAAAAUCACAGAUGCUUAAGCCCUUUAUAUAAUAUAGCCACAGUUAUUUGCAUAUAACCUAUUCACUUCUGUAUAUUUUAAAUCAUUUCUAGAUUACUUAUAAUACCUAAUAAAAUAUAAAUGCUAUAUAUAUAUAUAUAAAAGAAAAAUCCUAUGGGUUAUUUAAAUCAUUUUUAUUUCAAAUAUGGCUGUUUCAGCACCGUGGCAAGGGCAAGGUUGCUUUAAAGCAAAAGUUAUAUAUUUUGAUUUUUUCUGCAAUGUCAUUGGAUGGUUGUGGAUUCAUUUACCAAAAGAUCAUUGGAUUGUGUCAUUUUUACUUCCUAAGUCAGAGUUUCUAAAUCAGCUUUUAAAAGCAGGGAACUUUUAAAACAUGCAGAUUCUUUGGCCCACCCUAGGAAUCUGCAUUUUAAUCUACUCCCUGGUUCUUUUUUUUUUUUUUUUUUUUGAGGUGGAGUCCCGCUCUGUUGUCUAGGCUGGAGUGCAGUGGUGCGAUCUCAGCUCACUGAAACCUCUGCUUCUCGGGUUCAAGUGAUUUGCCUCAGCCCCCUGAGUAGCUGAAAUUACAGGAACAUGCCACCAUGCCCUGCUAAUUUUUGUAUUUUUAGUAGAGAUGUGGUCUCACCAUGUUGGCCAGGCAGGUCUCAAACUCCUGACCUCAGGUGAUCUGCCUGCCUCGGCCUCCCAAAAUGCUGGGAUUACAAGUGUGAGCCACCGCGCCUGGCCCCUGGUUUAUUUUUUAUGGAAGCAAUUUAGUGCCCCCUCACAGCCCACCACUUCCCUCUGAGUUAAUGACUCCCAAACACUUGCCAAUAACACCCAUUAGGUCAUGCAGUGUUUACCUGGAAGCUUUGUGUUAGCCAGAUUCUGUCCAGCCUUAAACCGACUCUUCAUCACAACAAAGCUUACAGCUUUCAAUUAGUUAAUUUAUUUGGUAUCCCAAAAAUUCUAAUUUUGCUUUUCCAGUAGCAGUGAUCCAUUGUGACCUAGUAGGUACAACUCAGUCAUUUUUCUGGGUUUAAAAGAGCGAAUAUAUUUCUGUGUACAGCAGACCAAAGAGAUUAAUGAUGGAAAACGGGAAAUGAGACUUUCAUCCAGAAGAUACAAACCUUACUUGGUGUCUACAAUGAGUGGACUGGGACUUGAGAAAAGAGGACAUCACCUGCCCAGAAAUUUAGCUUUGCCCUUUUUAUCUCAGACUUGUUAGCAAAAUCACUGGUUUCUGCCUUUUUAGUAUUUUUCCACAUUUGAGAGAUGAGACAUACAUAAUCCCGUGUGUGGGAAAUCAGAAGCAGUGCAUACUCAUAACUUCCCUAGCCCUUUGAGGGCCAUCAGAGGAGGCUAUUUUACUACUGAUUUAAUAUUUCAGAAGCACAGUAAGUCACUUCCUCUAAGAUGUGGCCAGAUGUACGUGUUUUAAUAUUCUUUAAAAGUUUGCAACAGAGAAAUAAUUAAAUGAGUGUUAGAAUGCCUAACAACAGGUUAUACUGCUAGAACCUAGAAAUUCUACAUGUAAUAUAGAUAGUAUGAUAUAUAAUGAAAUAUAAAAUGUUAACAUAAAAUACAGCACAAUUUUUAUAUAAUAUGACACUGUCCUGCCCCCAGAUUAGAAAUCUGUUAGAGUUCACAGAUUGAUUUGAAAUCCAGUUUCUUGGAACUUGGAAAAACACCUUAUUUCUUAUAUUAUUAUAUUAUAUUUAUUAUUGUAUUAUAAUAUAUAUACUUUAUAUUAUAAGAAUACUAUCCUAUGAUAUUGUAUUUUGUUAUAUAGCAAUAUUUAACUUGUCAUAACCUAUUAUUAUAUCAUUGUCUCCUGAUAUUACAAAAGAUAAUUAACUCCAUGGUUAGCCCACAUAGCUAUUGGUUUUUCAUUUAUGUUUCUGAAAUAGUUUAUAUUUGGCAACAGCAUUUUCUAUCAUUUUUCAUUUCUUCUACCUGGUAGCACAGUUAAGCUACAAGCUAAAUAUGCUUUGAUGUUAUCAUUGAGACACAUAACUAAUAGUUAUUAUGUGAUUAUAAUGAAAAAUGUCCUGUCGUGACAACAGAAUGUAGUUGCUUGAGAAAAAUUUCUUCCUCUCGAGGGGAGUGGGCAGAUGUUUAGCUCUUUGGACUAAGGGAUCCCCCAUGUGGCAUGGUCCUGCCAUAUGUAUGUGUAGAUAAUUAAAAGUUCUGUAUUUAUAAACAAUGGAGAAUCUUCCUUAAUAUUGAUAAUGAUAAUUAUAAAAACAAGAAUAACAGCCACUAAGUGCUUAUUAUACAUAGGCACUGUAUUAAGACCUUAAAAUACUUUGUCUCACUAAUGACAACUUUAUGAGGUGGCUACUGAGAUAAUUAAGACUUGGGGAGGUUAGUGACUUGUCCAGAGUCAUUGAGCAAAGGGUUUUAAUACAGCCUGACUCUGUCAAAAGCCUAAGUGCUUCUCCAAAGGGCUCUAAAAUCUGCUUACAGUUCUAUUAAAAAUAUAAAAUAUUCAAAUUGUCUAUUCUGUGCAAAAAUGGUAAGUGAAAUAAGAAUUUAGGAAAAAAAAUUCCAGAUCUUUCUGUUGUUGUUUUUUUAAGACAGAGUCUUGCUCUGUUGCCCAGGCUGGAGAGCUGUGGCACAAUCAUAGCUCAUUAUAGCCUUGACCUCCCAGGCUCAAGUGAUCCUCCUACCUCAGCCUCCCAUGUAGCUGGGACUGCAGGUGUGUGCCACCAUGCCACCUAUUUUUUAUUUUUUUAUUUUUUAGUAGAGUCAAGACCUCACUAUGCUGCCCUGGCUGGUCCUGAACUCCCGGGUUCAAGCGAUCCUCUCACUUGGCUUCCAAAAGUUCUGUAAUUACGGACGUGAGCUACUGUGCCUGGCCUCACCCCAAAUCUUAUCAUUCAAAGACAACUGUUAAUAUUUUUAUGAAAAUCCUUUAAGACUUUUCUCCACAUACAUAUAAAUAUAUAACAUAUAACUAUAAAUAAUAAUAUAAAUGUUAGAAUAUAAAUAUAAUUGUAAGACUAUAAUGAAUAUAUAAUUUACAGUAAUAUAUUUAUAAAUACACAAUUAUACUAUACAUACAUAUCUAAUAUCAAUAAAAAUAUAUAUUACAAACUUAAUAUCAGAUUGUAUAUAAUUUUGUACCUACUUUUCUUGGCUAACAAUAUACUAUGACCACACCUCUAUAUCAAUAAAUAUGAGUAAUAUCUUUAUUCUAACUGGAUGCUAAGAAUUUCACUGUAUAGGUAAAACUAUAUAUCCCUAUUCCAAUUAUUUAACAUGUAGGAUUUUUCUAGUAUUUUUCUAUCAUUUACUUUGACAAAUAUUUUUACACAUUUACCUUUGCUAAUACACCCAAGUAUUUCCUUAGCAUGAAAUUAUAGAACUAUAAGAUCAAAAUGUAUGAGUGUUUGGCUAAAUUGUAUGGCUAAAUAUAUGGCUAAAUUGGCCUUCAGACAACUAUAUCAGUGUAAACUCUCAAUUGCAUUGCAUGAGAAUACAUCCAGCCCCAUGUACCAGCCUACAGGGUCACUAGUAUUUGUAAUCUUGGUCAAUCUGGUAAGCAAAAAACAUGUCACUUUAAUUUGUCCUUUUAUUAUAAGUCAAGAUGAGCAUUUUAAUGUGUUUAUAUCAUUCAUAUUUCCUCUUUUAUGAACUUUAUAUUAAUAUCUUCAGCCCAUUUUCAUUUCAGAUGUUACCUUUUUCUCUUUGAUUUGGUCUGGCUGUGUCCCCACCCAAAUCUCACAUUCAACUGUAAUAAUCCCCAUGUGUCAAUCGUGGGGCAAGGUGGAGAUGGAGAUAAUUGAAUCAUGGGGGCGGUUUCCCCCAUACUGUUCUCAUGGUAGUGAAUAACUCUUAUAAGAUCUGAUGAUUUUAUAAAUGGGAGUUCCCCAUACAAGAUCUCUUGCCUGCUGCUAUGUAAGCCAUGACUUUCUUCUCCUUUGCCUUCCACCACGAUUGUGAGGCCUCCCCAGACAUGUGGAACUGUGAGCCUAUUAAACCUCUUUCCUUCAUAAAUUACCCAGGCUCAGGUAUGUCUUUAUUCGCACAUGAGAACUGACUAAUACAUUCUUAUUGGCUUAUAAAUGUGCUUUAUAUAUUGAAGACAUUAACACUACAUUAAGGUCAAUUACACAAUUUGUUUCCCACCAUUUAAAAAAUAUUUUACUUUUAAAAUGACUUCUGCCUUUCUGAAGCUAUGUUUUUCCAGGGACAAACUCCAGUACAUUUUUUACAGCAGCUUUAUUGGGUUAUAAUUUACAUUCCAUUUCUGUGGUUUUUGGUAUAUUCACAGAGUUGUGCAGCCAUUACUAUCUAAUUUUAGAACUUUUUCAUCACACCAAAUGAAACUCCUCUGCUUAGCAGAGGAGAGAAACUCUGUUUCUCCUUCCAUGUACCCUCUGGAAGCAUUAAUCUACUUUCUGUCUUUAUGGAUUUGCCUAUUCUGGACAUUUUAUAUAAAAGGAAUCCUAC